ensembl:lincRNA
GGGAAAAUGGCUGAUUCUAGGGCUGGGGAAGGGAAGGUAUAAGACAAAUCCAGCAAUCAAACAAUGAUGGCAACAUGAGGUAAGUAAUUAUGGAGCAAUAGGCAUGUUCCGUAUCAGUAUGAUUCAGUGUUUCCAGUAACGAAAAGGAGAGAUUAAUGAGUGGGACAGUGGAGUUUUCCAGAGCCCACAUGUCAUGUGACAUUACGACAGACUGAAGAUGUGACAACUGAAUGUAUGACAAUCCAGCUGGAUUCCAUAAAGCCAGACAGUAAGGAGAUUUGUAAAGGUGUAAAAUAGUGCCACUUUUUAUACUGUUUUUUU